CCUACGGGGGGCAGCAGUGGGGAAUAUUGGACAAUGGGGGAAACCCUGACGCAGCAACGCCGCGUGAGGGAAGAAGUAAUUCGUUAUGUAAAGCUCUAUCAGCAGGGAAGACCAUGACGCUACCUCAGUAAGAAGACCCGGCUAACUCCGGGCCCGCGGCCGCGGUAAUACGUGGGGGGCAAGCGGUAUCCGGAUUUACUGGGUGUAAAGGGGGCGUAGACGGCAGUGCAAAUCUGGAGUGAAAGAUGCGGGCUCAAACCCCGGACUGCCGUGGAAACUGUAUGGCUUGAGUGCACGAGAGGUAAGCGGAAUGCGUGGUGUAGCGGUGAAAUGCGUAGAUAUCACGCGGAACACCAGUGGCGAAGGCGGCAUACUGGAGCGCAACUGACGCUGAGGCACGAAAGCGUGGGUAGCAAACAGGAUUAGAUACCCGGGUAGUC
rnacentral:rRNA from 1 species